UGUAAGAACAAUGGGAUGAUUAGACGAGGUUUUCAUUUCCAUUUCUUUAUCUUCUCACUGAUUCUUUCGUGUAUUCUAGAAACAAGCUCACAAACGUGACAUUGAUGAGAUUCUCUAUUGAAUCUAAGAAUAAAUUAUAAUUUUACAAGCAUUGGGGCAUUUGAAUGAACCGACAGCAGAGCACUUCUCCCAGAAAGCUUUAAAAAAAGAUGGGAGAUGACACUGUUGACAGUAGUUGUAUUGGAAGCCUACCUGCUAUGAUGGC